AUUGAACGCUGGCGGCAGGCUUAACACAUGCAAGUCGAGCGGAGAGUGGUAGCUUGCUACUGAUCUUAGCGGCGGACGGGUGAGUAAUGCUUAGGAAUCUGCCUAUUAGUGGGGGACAACAUUUCGAAAGGAAUGCUAAUACCGCAUACGUCCUACGGGAGAAAGCAGGGGAUCUUCGGACCUUGCGCUACUAGAUGAGCCCAAGUCGGAUUAGCUAGUUGGUGGGUUAAAGGCCUACCAAGGCGACGAUCUGUAGCGGGUCUGAGAGGAUGAUCCGCCACACUGGGACUGAGACACGGCCCAGACUCCUACGGGAGGCAGCAGUGGGGAAUAUUGGACAAUGGGCGGAAGCCUGAUCCAGCCAUGCCGCGUGUGUGAAGAAGGCCUUAUGGUUGUAAAGCACUUUAAGCGAGGAGGAGGCUACUUUAGUUAAUACCUAGAGAUAGUGGACGUUACUCGCAGAAUAAGCACCGGCUAACUCUGUGCCAGCCGCCGCGGUAAAAC
rnacentral:rRNA from 1 species